UAGGGAAUAUUGCAAAAUGGGCGAAAGCCCGAUGCAGCAACGCCGCGUGGGCGAUGAAGGCCUUCGGGUCGUAAAGCCCUUUUUGAGGGGAUGAGGAAGGACAGUACCCUCAGAAUAAGCCUCGGCUAACUACGUGCCAGCAGCCGCGGUAAUACGAAGGGUGCAAGCGUUACUCGGAAUUACUGGGCGUAAAGCGUGCGUAGGCGGUUCGUUAAGUCCGAUGUGAAAGCCCUGGGCUCAACCUGGGAACUGCAUUGGAUACUGGCGAGCUAGAGUGCGGUAGAGGAUGGUAGAAUUCCCGGUGUAGCGGUGAAAUGCGUAGAGAUCGGGAGGAACACCAGUGGCGAAGGCGGCCAUCUGGACCAGCACUGACGCUGAGGCACGAAAGCGUGGGGAGCAAAC
rnacentral:rRNA from 1 species